rnacentral:rRNA from 1 species
UACGGAGGGUGCAAGCGUUGUUCGGAAUUACUGGGCGUAAAGCGCGUGUAGGCGGCUCGGCAAGUCGGGUGUGAAAGCCCUGGGCUUAACCUAGGAAGUGCACUCGAAACUGCCAAGCUUGAGUUCUGGAGAGGAAGGCGGAAUUCUCGGUGUAGAGGUGAAAUUCGUAGAUAUCGAGAGGAACACCGGUGGCGAAGGCGGCCUUCUGGACAGCAACUGACGCUGAGACGCGAAAGCGUGGGGAGCAAACAGG